rnacentral:misc_RNA from 1 species
AAGUCGUAACAAGGUCUCCGUUGGUGAACCAGCGGAGGGAUCAUUACCGAGUUUACAACUCCCAAACCCCUGUGAACAUACCAUAACGUUGCCUCGGCGGAUCACCGCGCCCCGUAACACGGGACGGCCCGCCAGAGGACUCCCAAACCCACUGUAUUAUAAAGUAUCUUCUGAGUAACACAAACAAAUAAAUUAAAACUUUCAACAACGGAUCUCUUGGCUCUG